rnacentral:lncRNA from 1 species
CUCCAGUGUUUGCUCGAGGCCGAUCACCCUGGCAACAGAGGAAGCACAAUCUUGGAUAGCCUGAAGAGUACAUGGUAUUGCUGUGCUAUUAAUAGGUACAUGGUAUUGCUGUGAUAUUAAUUUCAGUGCCCAAUUUUUUAACAAUAUAGCCUUUUUCUUGACAGUCGAAGUAACUCGGUGAUCAACUGUCAGUUAUUUUCUGGCUAGUUUUAGAAGAUGAAUUCACACCAGUACAAGCGUUCAUGAUAGCCAAAUUUCUCAUGCUGCGAUAGAACUUCAUCUUCAGGUGGUAAGCAAUCUUCAACUGGGCCCAAUGAGCAGCAUUUCUCUGCCGAAUAUUUGUGUAUUGUCUAAUCGUAAGCAGAGCAAGAUCUGUACUAUGUCUUUGAAAUUUUAUAAGCUGAUGUGUUCGUACAUAUCUGAAGUUCCCUUUGGAUUAACCAUAUAUUCGUGGUAAUAUUCUGUCUUAAAGCCAUGACCUCCUUUUGAAGAGCUCAUCUAAAUAAUGACGGUGGGAGUUUGGAAUCAGCAACAACUCUAAUGAAUAUACUCUGCCAGGCUGAUAUUCUGUGACCAGUGCUUGUAGAGAUUGAUGUUAAUGUUGUCAUAUAAGUAUGAACUCAAGCUGGUAAUUAUCACCAUAUCAGGUAUGCAUGGCUGGAAUUGACGUUUUAGGCCUGUAGGCAAACACGGUCACACUUGCCUCACUCUACCAUUUGAAGCAUGAGAGGGUGAAAUUGACCGACGAAUGUUUCGAGACAAACAGUGGACUGUUGAUCCUACAUUUUUGUAUAAUGGUACUGAGAUUCGAGGGUCGACGGUGAAAUCAGGUAGACUUGGGGGGAAAAACUCAAACUGUUCAUGAUAAUUGUUUGGAUUUUGGAACUAAUCGUAGUUCUUCUGAUUGGUUGAUUGGUUGGGGAACAUUUUAAUAUUGGACGGUUGCAGAAGGUAUGUUUGUAGAAGGGAAAUUUAUCACAGGGGCUCAACACUACUUCCGGCAAGAGCUGUUGGAUUUUAGUAUGUAGCGGGAUCUUUAAUGUUAAUUGAAGGAGAGUUGCUCAUGACUGAAUCGACGAGACAAGCUGACUUCGGGCAGUGGAAGGCAUUGAACAGGUAAGGAAUAUUCAAUGUUGAUUGAAGGAGUAUUUCAGAGGGAAGGUUUACAUACUGGUGGAUAGACACUUUUGACAGUGGAGGAAGCGGAUUCUUUAACAAAGAGGGAAUUUUUGAAGUUGAUUGUGGAGGGUUAAUUACAGGAAGUUUCCAUAGUGCAAGCUUUUGGUUAUGUAUAAAAUGUUCAAUUUAUCGUAGGUUGAGGACUUUUAAUAUCAAUUGAAGAGGGAAGGUUCCUGGUAAUUGGGAUGGUACAAAGUCACCUCUACUGGAGCUGAAGACCAUUUCUACUUGGAGCUGAAGACCUUUUCUGGCGUAGGAUUUUGAAGUAGUAUGUUUAUUGAUGAGGCAGGGCUUUUGGAAAGCUGGUUUUGUGCAGUAAUACCAUAAAUUAUCACGUUUAAGUACAAUGUGUUGGCAAUCCCGCUCAAUAUCGAGUAAAAUGUCUACUUAAAAAUUUGAAUUUCAAAUACAAGGUUGCACGGUGAUGUUCCCACGGAUUCUUGACAUCAAUUGACCUGGUUCCAAUGGCAAGAGUAUUUCGACGACUGGAGUUCAAGUUCUGCUGCAGUUGUUGGCCGUUGGUUCAAACAGAGCUCGUCCGCUCUUUAGCAGGUCUUGUUUUUAAUCCUGCAGGGUGACCACACACCCUCCUCUCUAGGUAAACCUAGAGGGGUUGCCGGUUGAGUCGCCGACGGCCCGACCAUGAACAGGU